rnacentral:rRNA from 1 species
GACGAACGCUGGCGGCGUGCCUAAUACAUGCAAGUCGAGCGAGCUUGCCUAGAUGAUUUUAGUGCUUGCACUGAAUGAAACUAGAUACAAGCGAGCGGCGGACGGGUGAGUAACACGUGGGUAACCUGCCCAAGAGACUGGGAUAACACCUGGAAACAGAUGCUAAUACCGGAUAACAACACUAGACACAUGUCUAGAGUUUAAAAGAUGGUUCUGCUAUCACUCUUGGAUGGACCUGCGGUGCAUUAGCUAGUUGGUAAGGUAACGGCUUACCAAGGCAAUGAUGCAUAGCCGAGUUGAGAGACUGAUCGGCCACAUUGGGACUGAGACACGGCCCAAACUCCUACGGGAGGCAGCAGUGGGGAAUCUUCCACAAUGGACGCAAGUCUGAUGGAGCAACGCCGCGUGAGUGAAGAAGGGUUUCGGCUCGUAAAGCUCUGUUGGUAGUGAAGAAAGAUAGAGGUAGUAACUGGCCUUUAUUUGACGGUAAUUACCUAGAAAGUCACGGCUAACUACGUGCCAGCAGCCGCGGUAAUACGUAGGUGGCAAGCGUUAUCCGGAUUUAUUGGGCGUAAAGCGAGCGCAGGCGGUUGUUUAGGUCUGAUGUGAAAGCCUUCGGCUUAACCGAAGAAGUGCAUCGGAAACCGGGCGACUUGAGUGCAGAAGAGGACAGUGGAACUC